rnacentral:lncRNA from 1 species
CUUUAUUAAUGCACACCCGUUGUGACGAAAUACUGAAAUUUGAUCAUUCAAAUCCCGUUACAUAUUUUUUCACUGAAUUCCGUAUUUCAAAAACAAAUCAUAUCUUGAAAUUUACAAUCCAACGAUUCAUUAAAUAAAACCCAUUGGCCAACAAUAAAUGAAUAAUCGGUGCUUUGAUGAAGGUAAACCCAGAAAAGCGCUCUGAACGCCAAAAAAAUAAUUAAAGAGAUAUGAUUGUUUGCCUAUAUUUCUUCAAAUGCAGAAACCAACUGAAAAAAUACAUUUUAACACAAUUUUGAUUCAUGUAAAUUUACACUUGGGUGCACAGGGAUGGGUGUUGUUUUGUUGUUGAGUUUGACAUGAUGUACAAUUGAUGAUUUCAGAACUAUAUUCCACUAUGAACUACUUAUACUAUAUUAAAACAUGUAUUAUUUUAUCUUUCACUUUUACAUCUGACGGGAUGUUUUAUAAGUACCCUUUUUAAUGGCUGCAUUAGACACAUUAAUUUCAAAUUGUAAUGUAUCGUCCUGAACAUGCCUGAAAUAUUUGCCACCGGACAUUUUUCAACCUCAAAUCAAUCAUUUCAUAUUGUAUUUAAAAAUCACUGUUCACACAAUCAACUUUUUGAAGCUGAAUGUGUAUCCUGUUAGUUGGAAAUAAAACUAAAGUUAAUGUGAAUCGAAUUCGAAUUACGUGUGAAUUCAG